UACAGAGGUCUCAAGCGUUGUUCGGAUUCAUUGGGCGUAAAGGGUGCGUAGGUGGCGCCGUAAGUCGGGUGUGAAAUUUCGGAGCUUAACUCCGAAACUGCAUUCGAUACUGCGGUGCUCGAGGACUGGAGAGGAGACUGGAAUUCAUGGUGUAGCAGUGAAAUGCGUAGAGAUCAUGAGGAAGACCAGUGGCGAAGGCGGGUCUCUGGACAGUUCCUGACACUGAGGCACGAAGGCCAGGGGAGCAAACGGG
rnacentral:rRNA from 1 species